GUCAGUGGUGUAGUGGUUUUGAACAUUGGACUAUGACUCUGGAGACCAGGGUUCAAAUCCUGGCUUGGCCA